CGGAUCCCGGGCCUGCACCUACGCACCGCUUCUCCGGCCACGCUGAGGCUGCGUCCCACGUACAGCAACUAGAAGGAUGUGCAGCUAUGACAUACAACUAUCUACUGGGGCUUUGGGGGGAAAAAUAAAUAAAUAAAAUCUUAAAAAAAAAAAAUAGGAAUGGUAAGAACACAGGAGACCUUGGGUUUGAACCAGCUCCACUGGCCUGAUCCUAGGCAAGUGCUGGUCUACGAGCCUCAGUUUUCUUAUGGGUCAGAUGGAAUUAAUACCACCACCAACCCUGUGUGCUAUCAUGAGUUACAAUUUCCAGAUAAGCUCAUGAAGUACUUAGCACAUGCUGACACACGGUAAAUCUUCCUUUAGUGGUAGUGGUAUUGUUUCACCUGAUUUCCUCUUCUAGACCCAUGCCUUACUUGAGAUACAGUGAAGGAAAGACCUCAGUCCAAAGGUCUGGCCAAAAUCCUGAGGUUAAGCUGAGGGUCCCUUUGCCUGUGGAGGAGUUAGUUUCUGAUGGAAAGGAGAAGGCAGAGCUGACCAUAUGAUCCCUGGAGUCCUCUGCCUGGGCUAUGUAUCCAGUGCUGGCCGAGGGGGCAUCCUGGCUGGGCAUGGGGCCCUAUAAGGGAAGGCAGGCCCCUUCUGGCACACCCCUGCCCAUGGCUCCUAUUUCUCUGGUCUCCCAGCUGCUCAGCCUGGAAAGCUUGGGGCCACCUCUCUCCUCUUCCCGGUACCAGAGGCCACCAAGUGCUGCUGAUUUCACCUUCUCCACCACCUCAUCCUCCAUCCGUCCCCGCUGCCUGCAGGGCCUCCAGUUCCUCUGGCCUCUCCUACAGUCCCACUUGCCUGCUCAUAUGUCCAGCAUUGUCAUGGAGGGAACAAGGCCCAGCCUGGCCAUCACAGCCCUCAGGGCACCAGUUUACUAGCUCAGCCUCACCCUCACACCAGCACUUUCUACAUCUCUGCCUUUGCUCAGGUUGCUUCCUCUCCCUGGCUCCCUCCACCUCCACCUCCACAUGCCAAAAUGCUUCUGAGAGCAUAGAGCACCUCUGGACUGGGGCCUCCUCCGGGAAGUGUCCCCGAGUCCGCCAAGAGGGAAUCUUGCUCUCCUUUACCCUUUGGUGUUUCUUAAUGUGCUGCUUGUCCUGUCUGCCUUCCCCAGACUGAGCACCUGGAGGACGGCUUCAGUAGCUGAGAUCGAUGGGUGAAGGAGUACAGGAAGGCAGGAAUGAAUGAACACAGGAGCAGCUAGUCUGCCUGUUUCCUGUCAAUGCUUCCAGUGUUGUACCUUUCGGGUUUUCCACUUCCCUGCUCGGAGUCUUUACAUAGCUCCCUGUUUCUCAGCACAUCAAGUCUACUGUAUAUGCCUCUUCCCAGCUGCAGGUAUGCCCUACUCAGCCCAUGGGUCACACUCACAAUCAGGCACCCUUUCUUUCUCCAGGCCGGCCCUGUGCUGGCCACUUCCCCAGGGACAGAGGCAUACGAGCCUGUUGCUAGCCUAUUGAGCCCCAAACUGGAGAGGAUGCAAGAGGGGAGAUGCAGAGCAACAGUACUGAGUUGAGUGUACAGGGAUAAAAAUGUGUACAGGAGCAGAACUUGGACCACAGAGGAAGGAGAGGGAGUAGAGAGAGCUUCAGGGAAGGGAGAGGGUGUGCUGAGUAGAGUUUAGAAGGCUGAAUAUGAGUUCACCAGGUGGAUCAGAGGGAAGGCAAUUCUUGGCAGAGAGAACAUAUGCAAAGAUAGCAGACAGGCAGAGAGUAAUUGCUGACAGGAAGAAAGAAUCCCUAGACCACACUCAGAGGCUGAUGGUGGAGCCCUGGAUUGGACUCCUGAGUCCCAGCUCUGCUGUUUACUUGGCAAACAUCACUGAAAUUUCUUCUCCUCUCUGAGCCUCAGGACUCACAUCUGUAAAAUGGGUAUAAUGAUCCCCUCCUGGGAUGGCCUGACGAAAAACGGACGUGUAUAAAAGUUUAUCCAAAUAAACGGUGCUGAUUCAUGACGUGAGAAAUUCAACCAACUCCCCUUCCUAGGUCAGGGUGGCACUUGAAGACAAAGCAGAAUGACCAGAAAAACAGCCUUACUUUUGCCCCACCCCACCGUACCUGCCCAAACAGACCCCAUGACCUGCUUGAAAUUCCAUUUCUGGGUGUUCUCUCUGUAAAACUUUUAUGACCGCUGGAGGCUACUGUUUAGAGGUAAAUUCAUCAGAAGCUACUGACACUGGAUCAGAGAUAGAUUGUCAGGUGGGCAAGUUUAAUUUUGGGAUGGCUGAGUCCUGGGAAACAGGAUUUAAUUCCAGCCAGGGAGGGAACACCAGAAAAAGCCCACGAAAUGGCAUCUGAGCCUGGCAAGCGUCCCUGACAGCCAACGAGAAGAGGCUGUGCUGAGUCAGCGGCCUCUGAUGCAAGGGGGGCUCUCUGGGCCUGGGACGGGAGAGCCCCUAAUCCGCAGGAUGUUUUGCAACUCAAAUCCUCCCAGGCUGCAGACAGGCACGUUCUGCUCCACAUGGCAGACUGUGACCACUGUAUAAUGCCAGAAUUUACAGGGGACCAUUGCAACAACCCUCAAGGCUGACUUGACUGUCUCCUGAUCCCAACCCUAAGUUUCUACAUGAGACAAGUGGAUCGGCCCAGUUUGGCUCAGGCAGUGGGGACCUAGAGUGCCCACAGGAGACAGGGUGGGCGGGCUCACCUCUGUGCGGGAGUGAGGCGGAGCACGGGUGUGUGCCUCCUGACUGAGUGACACAGGCAAACGUGUGCAGCCAUUGAAAACGUUGUUGAAUGGAGAUAGACAUUCAAUGAUAUGGGAAGAAAGUUAAGAUUUUUUGAAUGGAAAAAACAGGUUACAAAACAGUAUGUUUAUCACAUUUUUGAAAGGAAAUAUGCAUAUGUAAUUUAAUUGAAUUUCUAUACCUAUAUGCUAAAUGUUAAUUGAAAUUAUGGGUAGUAGAAUUAAGGGUAAUUUUUAUUUUCUUCUUUUGUAAUAUCUGCAUUUUUCUCUUGUGAAUGACUAUCAGUUGAAUAAUAAAACAAUAACUCUUACCUCACAGAGCUGCAGUGUGUGUUAACUAGACAUUUAUUCACUUAUUCAAUAAAUAUUUAUUAAGCACCUACUACGUGACGGUGUUUGUGACAGCUGCAUGAUGACUGACGAGUGGUGGAGUUUCAAUAAUUGGGGUGACCCAAGGCUCUGCCUUCCAGGAGCGCACAGCGAGGCUGGAUGCUCAGACACGGGGGCUUCUGCUCCGAUGGUCUACAUGCAUUCUGAAAAUCUGGGAAAUGAAAGCAACAGGGCGUUUCAGCUAUCUAUCUGCUGUAGA